CGUUGCACCCUCAACAAUGUGUCUACACAUCAUCGGAGCUGAUGGCACUGAGGAGACAAGCGUGGAGGAAAUGUGGGAGAACGGGACGGCGUGUGCAAAUAAACAGAAGCAGAGGAGGGUGAUAAAACAAAGGACGGCGGACUGAGCUUGAUUGUGAGAUAAACAAGCCAUCAGUGAAACAAUUGUUAGUUUGACUGUGUUUACUUUCAAGUGUUCUCCUCUGUUAUGAAAGGAUUUUAAGUUCAAACCCUUCAUCGAUCUCACGGUGUCAUCUUGUUUUUACAGCGGCACUUAAAAUUGGAUCGAUGGCUGUUAUUUUAAUGGCCUAACUUUCAGUCGACCUGUACCAAG